AUUGAACGCUGGCGGCAGGCCUAACACAUGCAAGUCGAACGAGUGGCGGACGGGUGUGUAAUGUCUGGGAAACUGCCUGAUGGAGGGGGAUAACUACGGGAAACGGUAGCUAAUACCGCAUACCAUCAGAUGUGCCCAGAUGGGAUUAGCUAGUUGGUGGGGUAACGGCUCACCAAGGCGACGAUCCCUAGCUGGUCUGAGAGGAUGACCGGCCCAACUGGAACUGGGAAACGGUCCAGCCUCCUACGGGAGGCAGCAGUGGGGAAUAUUGCACAAUGGGCGCAGGCCUGAUGCAGCCAUGCCGCGUGUAUGAAGAAGGCCUUCGGGUUGUAAAGUCCUUUCAGCGGGGAGGCGUUACCCGCAGAAGAAGCACCGGCUAACUCCGUGCCAGCCGCCGCGGUAAUUC
rnacentral:rRNA from 1 species